rnacentral:rRNA from 1 species
UACGUAGGGUGCGAGCGUUGUCCGGAAUUAUUGGGCGUAAAGGGCUCGUAGGCGGUUUGUCGCGUCGGGAGUGAAAAUCCAGGGCUUAACUCUGGACUGGCUUCCGAUACGGGCAGACUAGAGGCAUGCAGGGGAGAACGGAAUUCCUGGUGUAGCGGUGAAAUGCGCAGAUAUCAGGAGGAACACCGGUGGCGAAGGCGGGUCUCUGGGCCGAUACUGACGCUGGAGGAGCGAAAGCGUGGGGAGCGAACAGG